rnacentral:rRNA from 1 species
ACUCCUGCGGGAGGCAGCAGUGGGGAAUUUUGGACAAUGGGCGAAAGCCUGAUCCAGCAAUGCCGCGUGAGUGAAGAAGGCCUUCGGGUUGUAAAGCUCUUUUGUCAGGGAAGAAACGGUGAAAGCUAAUAUCUUUUGCUAAUGACGGUACCUGAAGAAUAAGCACCGGCUAACUACGUGCCAGCAGCCGCGGUAAUACGUAGGGUGCAAGCGUUAAUCGGAAUUACUGGGCGUAAAGCGUGCGCAGGCGGUUUUGUAAGUCUGAUGUGAAAUCCCCGGGCUCAACCUGGGAAUUGCAUUGGAGACUGCAAGGCUAGAAUCUGGCAGAGGGGGGUAGAAUUCCACGUGUAGCAGUGAAAUGCGUAGAUAUGUGGAGGAACACCGAUGGCGAAGGCAGCCCCCUGGGUCAAGAUUGACGCUCAUGCACGAAAGCGUGGGGAGCAAACAGGAUUAGAUACCCUUGUAGUCC